UGGGGAAUAUUGGACAAUGGGCGCAAGCCUGAUCCAGCCAUGCCGCGUGAACGAUGAAGGCCUUAGGGUUGUAAAGUUCUUUUGUCAGGGAAGAUAAUGACGGUACCUGAAGAAUAAGCUCCGGCUAACUUCGUGCCAGCAGCCGCGGUAAUACGAAGGGAGCUAGCGUUGUUCGGAAUCACUGGGCGUAAAGCGCACGUAGGUGGAUAGUUAAGUGAGGGGUGAAAGCCCGAGGCUCAACCUCGGAAUUGCCUCUCAUACUGGCUGUCUCGAGUCCGAGAGAGGUGGGUGGAAUUCCUAGUGUAGAGGUGAAAUUCGUAGAUAUUCGCAGGAACACCAGUGGCGAAGGCGACUUGCUGGACUUAUGGUGACGCUGAGACGCGAACGCGUGGGGAGCAAACAGGAUUAGAUACCCUUGUAGUCCCUGAGCGGGCUGGCAAGGCGCAU
rnacentral:rRNA from 1 species